AGCUACACGACAGAAUAAAUGAUAAGUUCCUUUUUUCCCCAAAUUGAAAGCUGCAUAUAGCACAGAUUGAGGAUAAACGAGAGAGGGCAAAUUAAUAUGGUUUGGUCAUUUUUGAGAUAGAAUAUCAAGUGUCCAAAUAUGAGUGCGUGAUAAGUCUUCCUUUUUUCCCCAAAUUGAAAGCUGCAUAUAGCACAGAUCGAGGAUAAACGAGAGAGGGCAAAUUAAUAUGGUUUGGUCAUUUUUGAGAUAGAAUAUCAAGUGUCCAAAUAUGAGUGCGUGAUAAGUCAGAGGUGGAAGAAGUGAGAAAACAGAGAAGAAGACCUAAAAUGAUGUGGAAGGAAGGUAGUAAUAAAAUAUUGUUGAAAA
rnacentral:lncRNA from 1 species